GAUGAACGCUGGCGGCGUGCCUAAUACAUGCAAGUCGAGCGAACAGAUGAGGAGCUUGCUCCUCUGACGUUAGCGGCGGACGGGUGAGUAACACGUGGAUAACCUACCUAUAAGACUGGGAUAACUUCGGGAAACCGGAGCUAAUACCGGAUAAUAUAUUGAACCGCAUGGUUCAAUAGUGAAAGACGGUUUUGCUGUCACUUAUAUAUGGAUCCGCGCCGCAUUAGCUAGUUGGUAAGGUAACGGCUUACCAAGGCAACGAUGCGUAGCCGACCUGAGAGGGUGAUCGGCCACACUGGAACUGAGACACGGUCCAGACUCCUACGGGAGGCAGCAGUAGGGAAUCUUCCGCAAUGGGCGAAAGCCUGACGGAGCAACGCCGCGUGAGUGAUGAAGGUCUUCGGAUCGUAAAACUCUGUUAUUAGGGAAGAACAAAUGUGUAAGUAACUAUGCACGUCUUGACGGUACCUAAUCAGAAAGCCACGGCUAACUACGUG
rnacentral:rRNA from 1 species